rnacentral:rRNA from 1 species
GUAUGGGGAUCUGCCCGAUAGAGGGGGAUAACUACUGGAAACGGUGGCUAAUACCGCAUAAUGUCUACGGACCAAAGCAGGGGCUCUUCGGACCUUGCACUAUCGGAUGAACCCAUAUGGGAUUAGCUAGUAGGUGGGGUAAAGGCUCACCUAGGCGACGAUCUCUAGCUGGUCUGAGAGGAUGAUCAGCCACACUGGGACUGAGACACGGCUCAG